UACGUAGGGUGCGAGCGUUGUCCGGAAUUAUUGGGCGUAAAGAGCUUGUAGGCAGUUUGUCGCGUCUGCCGUGAAAUUUCGGGGCUCAACCCCGAACUUGCGGUGGGUACGGGCAGACUAGAGUGUGGUAGGGGAGACUGGAAUUCCUGGUGUAGCGGUGAAAUGCGCAGAUAUCAGGAGGAACACCGAUGGCGAAGGCAGGUCUCUGGGCCACUACUGACGCUGAGAAGCGAAAGCAUGGGGAGCGAACAGG
rnacentral:rRNA from 1 species